GUGAGUAACACGUAAAGAACCUGCCCAUAGGUCUGGGAUAACCACGAGAAAUCGGGGCUAAUACCGGAUGUGUCAUCGGACCGCAUGGUCCGCUGAUGAAAGGCGCUCCGGCGUCGCCCAUGGAUGGCUUUGCGGUGCAUUAGCUAGUUGGUGGGGUAAUGGCCCACCAAGGCGACGAUGCAUAGCCGACCUGAGAGGGUGAUCGGCCACACUGGGACUGAGACACGGCCCAGACUCCUACGGGAGGCAGCAGUAGGGAAUCUUCCACAAUGGACGAAAGUCUGAUGGAGCAACGCCGCGUGAACGAUGAAGGUUUUCGGAUCGUAAAGUUCUGUUGUAAGGGAAGAACAAGUGCCGCAGGCAAUGGCGGCACCUUGACGGUACCUUGCGAGAAAGCCACGGCUAACUACGUGCCAGCAGCCGCGGUAAUACGUAGGUGGCAAGCGUUGUCCGGAAUUAUUGGGCGUAAAGCGCGCGCAGGCGGCCUCUUAAGUCUGAUGUGAAAGCCCCCGGCUCAACCGGGGAG
rnacentral:rRNA from 1 species